rnacentral:lncRNA from 1 species
UGCGAAAAUUUUACUCUUAAAACAUAUUCUAUAGCAAUUUUGACAUGUUAAAAUUAUCAUGAUUCAUUUUUUGUUAACCAAUGGAGUUUCAAAAAAAUUUAACUAUACAGUACCAUCACUUAUUUAGAAAAUGACAUAUUUUAUUUUAGAAAGGAUAAAGAAAAAAUGACCAGAUUGUUAACUUUAAAGUUCUCUCCUUGAAAGUUCCGAGUGAGAGAUAGGUGUGCGGAGCAAUGGAGAGGAAGAGACCAAACAUUCUGGUGACUGGAAUGUUGGGAAAAAUCACCACUCAAAUACUGUUGUCUUUGAUAAAUUAGAUGGAUAAAAAUAUCAGUAUAUGCCAAACAGAAUAAAUCUGCAACUCCACCAAAAUAAUAAUAACCACUGCAGGAAAUAAUAAGUAGAAACUAUCAAACCACGAGACACCAAGAAUUUUACGUGGAAAACCCUCUAAAACUAAGAGGUAAAAACCACGGGACGAUCUCCGAAAAAUCCAUUAGAAUAAUAUGAGAGAAUACAAAGAUAUCUUAAUUUGAGUACAAACCCAAAUUACUUCACCACAAUAAUCUAUGUGAUGGAACCCAAAUAAAACACUAUUUUAUUUGAACUAUCUUUCUCUCUCUAUUUUCUAACUCUCUUCCAUCCUCUCCUGGAUGGGAUUACUUUCAUCCAUCAUCCCCGGAUGAGAUUUCUUCACCCACCCUUUUCUUUCCUCUCUACUCUCGGAUGAGAGUUCUCUCAAAUUGGUGUGUCUUAUCCUUCUUCCUUAGCCUUUCUUUUAUAGUAGAACAAAGGAGAAGAGGAAAUAAUGAGGUGGGCAAUAAAUUCAACAAAGGUAGGUGGAGUGGAUGAGUGGAGUGGGUGG